CGGCAAUUUAUGUCGAUGGCUAAUGAACGGAAUUCAAUUAGCAUCGAGAAUCACACGCGGAAACAGGAAAUUUUACGCAGCUCUCUAGGUUGAGCCUGUGGUUACGAAGGAUCCCGGGUUAAAAGCAUAAUGCCAGCAGACGUAGCAACAACAACCAUCACCACAUCACCAACAGUAGCAGAAAUAUCAUCACUAUCUCUCGUCCAGCUCCUCAGCCGUCACUGAUCGUAUCACCUUGACCACCACAACCGGCAACAGCAGCACCACUUAAUCCAAAAGCAGUCAUACGCCGGAAGCGUUUCUUGCAUCACCCCAUCUGUUAUAAGUUGUAAUUUUUUUUAUCUCCCACGGCGGAAAUGGCUCAGUUUUCGAUCCGGAUGCGAAAAACUUAAAAAAGGUUCCAUGAAAUCGGCAAGGAAUCCAACGAGCGAAUGAGCCGCAACCCAAUCAAUAUCUGUGGAUUGGAGGCAACAUUGGAGAAGGUUAUCUGGCCACGGAUUCAUCGGAACAACUGAGCCAAAGUUUGCUGAAAGAAUCUCGGGAACGCCUACAGUAGGAUUCUGAGCUGCAAGAGCGUAUAAGCGAUCAUAAAAAAUACCAAUUUCUGCUGUCAUUGAAGCAAAGGUGUUGCUGAGUUAAAUGAAAUGUGUCACUCCGUGCGAGGAGUAGUCAUCGUUUGGUCGCAUUCUUGCUUGUUUGCCCAUUGAAUCCCGGUUGGGGGGAAUAAUAACCUUGAGAACGCAGUUCAGCGUUACUGAU